rnacentral:rRNA from 1 species
CCUACGGGAGGCAGCAGUGGGGAAUAUUGGACAAUGGGGGGAACCCUGAUCCAGCGACGCCGCGUGAGUGAAGAAGUCUUUCGGGUUGUAAAGCUCUAUCAGCAGGGAAGAAAAUGACGGUACCUGACUAAGAAGCCCCGGCUAACUACGUGCCAGCAGCCGCGGUAAUACGUAGGGGGCAAGCGUUGUCCGGAUUUACUGGGUGUAAAGGGGGCGUAGACGGUGCAGCAAGUCUGAUGUGAAAGGUCGGGGCCCAACCCCGGGACUGCAUUGGAAACUGUUGAACUGGAGUACAGGAGAGGUAAGCGGAAUUCCUAGUGUAGCGGUGAAAUGCGUAGAUAUUAGGAGGAACACCAGUGGCGAAGGCGGCUUACUGGACUGUAACUGACGUUGAGGCUCGAAAGCGUGGGGAGCAAACAGGAUUAGAUACCCCGGUAGUC